rnacentral:rRNA from 1 species
CGUACACUCCUACGGGAGGCAGCAGUAGGGAAUCUUCCACAAUGGGUGCAAACCUGAUGGAGCAAUGCCGCGUGAGUGAAGAAGGUCUUCGGAUCGUAAAGCUCUGUUGUUAGAGAAGAACACGUGCUAGGUAACUACUAGCGCCUUGACGGUAUCUAACCAGAAAGUCACGGCUAACUACGUGCCAGCAGCCGCGGUAAUACGUAGGUGACAAGCGUUGUCCGGAUUUAUUGGGCGUAAAGGGAGCGCAGGCGGUCUGUUUAGUCUAAUGUGAAAGCCCACGGCUUAACCGUGGAACGGCAUUGGAAACUGACAGACUUGAAUGUAGAAGAGGAAAAUGGAAUUCCAAGUGUAGCGGUGGAAUGCGUAGAUAUUUGGAGGAACACCAGUGGCGAAGGCGAUUUUCUGGUCUAACAUUGACGCUGAGGCUCGAAAGCGUGGGGAGCGAACAGGAUUAGAAACCCGAGUAGUCCCAUGA